CAGACGCACGUCGUCCGGACCAACUGCGGGUAUUUCAGCGUGAUCGUUUCGUAACGAACAAUUUGAUUUUUAAAUGUAUGAUAUCAAACGACACUGCAUAACCGUAAUUCACGGGCCCGUGACUAAACGCUAAUGGAACAAAACAAUAUCGGGACUAACGGUGAACCGAAUAAAAUAUUUAGGGACUACAUGAUGUUGCUCUGACGCGUGCGUUUUUAAACCAUAGAUAAUGCAUAAACGACAGAACAUGCAUGUAACAACAACCCGCGGGGCCGCGUGCCCGAAAAACUCCAAAACCAUCGCGUUUCUGAUUAUAAAUUAUUUCAGUGGUAUCCGGCGAUUGUAAACUGUGCCCAAAGUACAGGUAAACACAAAAUCACGUGUGCAAACGGCACCCGAGUUUUUAUCAAGGGUAAAAAGGUGACAUGGAAAUUGCGUCCGAGUAAAACAAAAAUAAACGCAAUUAAAAAAUGACUGACAGGG